rnacentral:tRNA from 1 species
CGGGGCGUAGCGCAGCUUGGUUAGCGCGUCUGACUGGGGGUCAGAAGGUCGG